rnacentral:lncRNA from 1 species
UCCCGCGACAUGGCAUUCAAUUUUGGGGCUCCUUCGGGCACUUCGGGCACCUCUACAGCCACCGCGGCACCGGCGGGAUUUGGUGGGCUUGAGACUGCCAACUCCACCGCCAGUGGGUUUAAUUUUGGGGGUUUCGGAUUAACCGCUAACCCUGCAGUGAACUUUAAUAUUGGGAAUUUCGGUGUUUCUACCACCUCGGCGACUCCGUUCAAUUUUGGUAACAGUCUGGCGAGUGCAGGCGGGUUUGGCGGAUUUGGAACAACAACUACAACUGCAGGCUCUGCAUUCAGCUUUUCUGCCCCAACAAACACAGGCAGUACAGGCCUUCUCGGCGGCACUCAGAACAAAGGUUUUGGCUUUGGCACUGGUUUUGGCACAUCGACGGGUACUGGCACUGGUUUAGGCACUGGCUUGGGAACCGGACUUGGAUUCGGAGGAUUUAACACCCAGCAGCAGCAGCAGCAGCAGCAGACUUCUUUAGGCGGUCUCUUCAGUCAGCCUGCACAGGCCCCUGCGCAGUCCAACCAACUCAUCAACACUGCCAGCGCUCUUUCUGCUCCAACGCUAUUGGGGGAUGAGAGAGAUGCCAUCUUGGCAAAGUGGAACCAG